AGAGUUUGAUCAUGGCUCAGAUUGAACGCUGGCGGAAUGCUUUACACAUGCAANUCGAACGGCAGCACGGGAGCUUGCUCCUGGUGGCGAGUGGCGAACGGGUGAGUAAUGCGUCGGAACGUGCCGAGUAAUGGGGGAUAACGCAGCGAAAGUUGUGCUAAUACCGCAUACGCCCUGAGGGGGAAAGCGGGGGAUCGCAAGACCUCGCGUUAUUCGAGCGGCCGACGUCUGAUUAGCUAGUUGGUGGGGUAAAGGCCUACCAAGGCGACGAUCAGUAGCGGGUCUGAGAGGAUGAUCCGCCACACUGGGACUGAGACACGGCCCAGACUCCUACGGGAGGCAGCAGUGGGGAAUUUUGGACAAUGGGGGCAACCCUGAUCCAGCCAUUCCGCGUGAGUGAAGAAGGCCUUCGGGUUGUAAAGCUCUUUCAGCUGGAGUGAAACGGUGCGCUCUAACAUAGCGUGCUAAUGACGGUACCAGCAGAAGAAGCACCGGCUAACUACGUGCCAGCAGCCGCGGUAAUACAUAGGGUGCGAGCGUUAAUCGGAAUUACUGGGCGUAAAGCGUGCGCAGGCGGAUUGUUAAGCAAGAUGUGAAAUCCCCGGGCUUAACCUGGGAAUGGCAUUUUGAACUGGCAGUCUAGAGUGCGUCAGAGGGGGGUGGAAUUCCACGUGUAGCAGUGAAAUGCGUAGAGAUGUGGAGGAACACCGAUGGCGAAGGCAGCCCCCUGGGGAUGACACUGACGCUCAUGUACGAAAGCGUGGGUAGCAAACAGGAUUAGAUACCCCUGGUAGUCCACGCCCUAAACCGAUGUCAACUGGUUUGUUGGGGGAGUGAAAUCCCUUAGUAACGAAGCUAACGCGUGAAGUUGACCGCCGGGGAGUACGGUCGCAAGAUUAAAACUCAAAGGAAUUGACGGGGACCCGCACAAGCGGUGGAUGAUGUGGAUUAAUUCGAUGCAACGCGAAAAACCUUACCUACCCUUGACAUGUCCGGAAUCCUGCAGAGAUGCGGGAGUGCCCGAAAGGGAAUCGGAACACAGGUGCUGCAUGGCUGUCGUCAGCUCGUGUCGUGAGAUGUUGGGUUAAGUCCCGCAACGAGCGCAACCCUUAUCAUUAGUUGCUACGCAAGGGCACUCUAAUGAGACUGCCGGUGACAAACCGGAGGAAGGUGGGGAUGACGUCAAGUCCUCAUGGCCCUUAUGGGUAGGGCUACACACGUGUUACAAUGGCCAGUACAAAGGGCAGCUACCAGGCGGCUGGAUGCUAAUCUCUAAAGCUGGUCUCAGUUCGGAUCGAAGUCUGCAACCCGACUUCGUGAAGCUGGAUUCGCUAGUAAUCGCGCAUCAGCCAUGGCGCGGUGAAUACGUUCCCGGGCCUUGUACACACCGCCCGUCACACCAUGGAAGUGGGGUUUACCAGAAGUAGUUAGCUUAACCGCAAGGGGGGCGAUUACCACGGUAGGCUUCAUGANCUGGGGUGAAGUCGUAANCAAGGUA
rnacentral:rRNA from 1 species